UACGGGGGGGGCAAGCGUUGUUCGGAAUUACUGGGCGUAAAGCGCACGUAGGCGGCUUUGUAAGUUAGAGGUGAAAGCCUGGAGCUCAACUCCAGAAUUGCCUUUAAGACUGCAUCGCUUGAAUCCAGGAGAGGUGAGUGGAAUUCCGAGUGUAGAGGUGAAAUUCGUAGAUAUUCGGAAGAACACCAGUGGCGAAGGCGGCUCACUGGACUGGUAUUGACGCUGAGGUGCGAAAGCGUGGGGAGCAAACAGGG
rnacentral:rRNA from 1 species